UUUGGUGGACUUCAGAUAGUUGAGACUUCAACAUGGCUUCUGGCAACGACGGGGCAGCUGCAAGUCUAACUCAACAUGUUCGGCUAGUUAUCCCCUGUUAUGAGAUGUUGUUUAAUUAUUAAUGUUAACCGGUUUAAUUGUGCAACUAUCAACAUAAGCUAACGUUAGCGAGCUAUGCUAGCGCUUCUGCAUGCUAAUAGGACCGUGACGAGACGAGGAUGAGGACGACACUGUUCCAUUGGAGAAAAAGUCUUGUCACUGGAUUUUUGAGAAAAUUCAUAGAAGAUGGUGCUACGUGAUCUGAUGAAGUUUUGGGUGGGGUGGGAACUGCCAACUAGACACCUUAAUGUUACCUCAACUUGUCCAGUGGCGCUCACCUGCUUCUUCAAGUUGAAGCUCCCCAGCCACUACCAGACCUACAAGAUCUUUCAGCAGGACUUGAUGAUGGCCCUCAGUUCCAUACGUUCUGGCUUUGGACUGGUGUAGGUGCAUAUGUCAACUUCUUGCACUCAGUCCCACUUUUGAAAUGGAAUCACUUAAGAGCAAUUCCUGUUAAUUUAUGCACCAUUUACUUUGAAGUUGGUUUGGUGAUUGUCUUUGGCCUAUGUGCACUAGUUCUUUAGUGAUUUUUUUUGACUGUACUGCUACGUUUGAUGAAUUUAUACAAGACUUCCCAGAAUUAUGUUCCCUUGAACAAUAAAGGUGUUACAUUUAAGUAGCAAAAACAAG